rnacentral:rRNA from 1 species
UACGUAGGGUGCAAGCGUUAAUCGGAAUUACUGGGCGUAAAGCGUGCGCAGGCGGCUUUGCAAGACAGAUGUGAAAUCCCCGGGCUUAACCUGGGAACUGCAUUUGUGACUGCAAGGCUAGAGUACGGUAGAGGGGGAUGGAAUUCCGCGUGUAGCAGUGAAAUGCGUAGAUAUCGGAGGAACACCAGUGGCGAAGGCGACUACCUGGCCUGUUAUUGACGCUGAGGCGCGAAAGCGUGGGGAGCAAACAGG